GAGAGUUAAACAGUACGUGAAAUUGUUGAAAGGGAAACGAUUGAAGUCAGUCAUACCAACGGGAAAUCAACCUCUUGAGUUUGGUCUCGUGGGUUUUGAAGAGUUUAAAAGCCUUCGGAUUUUCGAGAUUGGGUUCUUCUGGUGUACUUUCUCGUACGGUUAGUCAACAUCGGUUUUGAAUGUCAUAAAAUGGCUGGAGGAAUGUGGCUUCGAUCUCGUAUUGAAGUGUUAUAACCUUUGGUAGAUGUGAUGUUUGAGACCGAGGAUUGCAACGGAUACCCUUCUGGGCUAUUCGUCUGAUCUCUGAAACGUUGCCUUGAUGUCGAAAGCUUGCUUAUGAUGUUAGGGUAUUACGGUCAAAAGGUUAGAACGGAUUAAAUUCGUUAAGGAUGUUGACGUAAUGACUUUAAACGA
rnacentral:rRNA from 1 species